rnacentral:lncRNA from 1 species
CCGAUCACAUGUUUACAAAUAUAGUACCGGAGAGACUGCCAGCUCUCAUAUCAAUAUCAUCAUCAAGGAUCUUCAAGUCCUGAUGUAAAUGUAUGAUGAGGAUCAAGGAACUUCUGGUCCUGAUCUGUAUUCUGUAAAAACUCAUCAUACAACACAAUUAAUCCAUAAAAUAAAUUUACCGUUUAAAUAAAUUACUUGUAUGGACGUUAAUCCCGCACCAUACUUUAAAUGUGCGGUAAAGUAAAUUCAUAAAUUAAAUUGCUGUAUGGACGUUAAUCCCGCACCAUACUGUAAAUGUGCGGUAAAGUAAACGUGCUUGUAUGGGCACUAAUUCUGCUCCAUAUAAAGUAAAUGUGCUUGUAUGGGCACUAAUUCUGCUCCAUACAUUUAAAUAACAGUAAAGGCGUGGACGAUAAACCCGCACCACCCUUUAAAGUAAAUUUAUGAUAAAGUAAAUGUGCUUGUAUGAGCACUAAUUCUGCUCAAUACAUUUAAAUAACAGUAAAGGCGUGGACGAUAAACCCGCACCACCCUUUAAAGUAAAUUUAUGAUAAAGUAAAUGUGCUUGUAUGGGUAAGAAACCUACACCAUACAGUAAAUAAAAUAAUUGCGGAAUGAAUAAAGUAAAGACAAUUAUUUGUGGGUUCAUAUCAACACCACAAUCAAAUAGUAUGAUAUUAUUAUACUGAUAUAUCAAAUUAUUUUAUAAAGUAGAAGUCAUAUUUACCCCGACCGAAGUGCACGUUAAGAUUCCAAAACUAAGAGACUUAGUGGGCGGCUGUCAAUCAGUGAGACCAAGUGGGUGGCUUUCGUUUCGUUUAUCCGACAGACAUGCCAGCCAAAUUUUUUUUUUUUUUUCCGGCCCACUUUCUAGUUGCAAGUCCAUGCUAUUAUUGUUGUUGUUUUGGGAUGAACACUGAUCAUCAUCAUUAUCAUCACAGAGGAGGCCAAAGUGGUUGUCUUCUUCAGCCUCACAGCCUCUGUUAGCCAUGAACCCAAUAUUGGACCACCGUGCCUCCAUCUUGUGGUUGCUGCUGGAGACUUUUGAUGAGACCAUAGCCAUGGCAUCCAUCAGCUCCUCCUCUGUGGCUUCCCCAUACCCACAUGAAGUUUUGCUGCCAACAUGCAUGUUAUGAGCAUGUUAUGUAGUGAGCAGUUUCCUCCAGCAAGCUGCACAAAUCCAUGGGCUUGGCCCCCGGAACAGGAACCGAUCCCUGUGGGGCGGACUGGUUGGUGGGCUUUUUGUCCUCCUCCUGAUUUGUGACGCCUUGCUGUUUGAUGAUUUAUCAUCCAAGUCAAGCCAUGAAUCUUCUUCUUGUUCAGUCAUGUUUAUGAAUUCCCAUUCAUCGCUAAUAACCUCUGCCCGAGUAGAUGGGAAAGCAAAAGGACAUCAAAUGAAAGUUUCAUCAAACAGACAAACUUUCUUACAACGUCAGACUCAGAAGUGGUGGUUUUGGGUGUGCCUUAGUUUCUCUGUUUCUUGCUCUGUUAUGUUUGGUUUCUCUUUGUGAAAGAAACAGAGGAAGAAGCAGGGAACUGAGUCUGGGUUUCAGAGAAUUCAGCUUGUAUAUUUGAGAGCGAAUUCGUGCUGAUAACGUGUUAUAAAACAAAGAGAAAUUUGAGAGGAAACUGAG